rnacentral:rRNA from 1 species
GCAAGUCGUACGAGAGUUUUUAACUCAAGUGGCGGACGGGUGAGUAACGCGUGAGAAUCUGCCCUCAGGAGGGGGAUAACAGCUGGAAACGGCUGCUAAUACCCCAUAUGCCGCGAGGUGAAAUGAAUUUCGCCUGAGGAUGAGCUCGCGUCUGAUUAGCUAGUUGGUGUGGGUAAUGGCUCACCAAGGCAUCGAUCAGUAGCUGGUCUGAGAGGAUGAUC